UACGUAGGGUGCAGGCGUUAAUCGGAAUUACUGGGCGUAAAGCGUGCGCAGGCGGUUUGCUAAGACAGGUGUGAAAUCCCCGGGCUUAACCUGGGAACUGCGCUUGUUACUGGCAAGCUUGAGUGUGGCAGAGGGGGGUGGAAUUCCGACGUGUAGCAGUGAAAUGCGUAGAGAUGUGGAGGAACACCGAUGGCGAAGGCAGCCCCCUGGGCUAACACUGACGCUCAUGCACGAAAGCGUGGGGAGCAAACAGG
rnacentral:rRNA from 1 species